GAAUUAAUUAAACAAAGAGAAAAAAUAAAAAAAAAAGAUACGCCUCUCUCUCUCACGUGAAGCGACGGUGGCGACAGCUCUCCGAUUUCGAUCGCCAUCAGCUUCAAUCUCGUCGAAUCUACCGCCUCGAACAUCAGGAGGUGAAUGGCUCUGCUGCGAAAGAUGGUAGAGCUCUGCCACAAGGGGGAUUCACUUGUUGUUUAGCCAUGGAUGGUCUUAAGGUUCUUGCUUCUGGGUUUCAGAUCGAUGAAAAGGUACUUCACUUCGUCUUCUCUUUGUUAGUAUAAUAGAUAUCGUUUGUAGUUUAUUAGGAUCCGUUAUUCCCCUUUUGUAUAGUGUCCAUGGGAAUGGUUGUGAGUUUUGACUCUAUGUUGCCUCAGCGAUCUUAGGUCAAGAUAGAGAAGCUAGUUCCUUCCAUGGAGGGAGUUUUGGUUUCCAGAACUUCUUCAGAUGUCAACUUCGUCAUUGUCAAGAACGUCCUGGCUGCUAAGUACAAGGUCUGUUGCUCAAAGAUUGCCAAUCAAUAUUCUUUUUAGCUUCUAAAUGUUCACUUCACACAUCUGUAGAUUAUCAUCGUUGGCUACCGGUUUAUUUUUUAUUUUUGCUUAAUGAACAUUCCAACACUGCUGUUUUUCUUCAUGCAUCUCAAAAGAUUAAUCAGUUAUGUUAGUACAUAGGUGAUUUCCUUAGAACGGAGGCUUUCGAGCGGGAGGAAAGAUUUACUAUGCAGUAUGCAGCUCUAGUGAAACAUCUCUCCUUUUCCCAGAAAUUGUUUUGGAUCAGUCUUUUGCCUCUGAUGACUAAUGUGGGCCCUGUAUGUUCGGAAGAAGCCAGUUGUUGCACUGAGUUGGUUACAUCAGUGUUGGAAUGAGCAUCGUGUGAUGACAGCUUUUAAGAAUUCCACAAAUUCACCGAGUCAGUGAUGACAGCUUUUAAGAACUGAAGUGAAAAACACCUGGGGGAGGGGGACGAGGAUAAGCAAGAAUAGUGAUCAGUGAAAGAGGUUUCUGUGGGGUGGGGGAGUUCGUUCAAACAAAGCUCACAAGUUGUAGAAUGUUGUUUCUAAUUUGAGGAUCAUGCAGGUUUUUUUUUGUUUUUUACUUUCCGGGAAGAACAAUAAGUUAUAUUUCCGAUUUUACUCUUAUGUUAAGUUGGUACUCAUGAAAUCUGGAGAACAUAGUUGCUACCAAGCAUACCAAAGAUCAAUUUAAGAUUUUUAGGAAAGG